GUAAUAUGAUUAAAUUUUCUUCCUGUUCAAAAACAAAGAUUAAAUAGAACUGUUUAAAUAAAUCCCAUCAGCACAAAAGCAAAGAUUAAAUAGAACUGUUCAACCUCCACUUACAGCAGCAGAAAUUAAAACAAAGAUUAAAACAAAGCUUAGUCUAGACCUCCACUUAACAAAGAUUAAAACAAACAAAGAUUAAAUAGAACUCUUGUCUGUUUUGAUUUUUUAAAAGUUUACUUUAAUUUUUAUAAAAAAAGAAAAAGAAUUUGAUUCCUGGUAGUACAUGUAAUUUUCUAUUUUUGAAUGUUGUUGUGAGAAUGGUUGGCUUAGAUUUAGGCACACCGAAUGGAUAUUUUCAUCAACUUCACCACCAAUUGUCUCACCAUCGGUUUGACCUCCACUUACAGCAGCAGAGGUUGGACCUGGGCGAAGACGAUGAUCUGCGUCCUUAGUGGCACCGGAACCCGUCACACGUUAGUCUCCGACAACCAGGAGGCGGCGGGGCAGGUAGCGUCGGCUGUCGUGACGUUACCUCAACGGCGGCCGGAGCUUGGUGGUCGGAGGUUAGUUCCUGUGUGUUACACCGGUGGUCGCCUGGUGAAGACUCUAAUGGCUUCCAAUUGUUGUUGAAGAUGCAGGAUUAAGAGGAGAGAGAGGGGGUUGGGGGAAAUGAGGAGAGGAAAGGGAAUGGAAAAGUCUUGGGGGGGUGGGGAAUGAGUGUAGAGUGUUUUGGGGUUAACUCAAAAAUGAAAAUGGGUAAAGGAAAUGACAAAAGAGGGCUAACAAACAACAACAAAGGGAAUGAUAUCAGCUCAUUCCCUUUCCCUUUGAUUAUUAUCCCCAACCAAACGGCCCCUGAUAGAGUUUGUUGUUAUAUCCAGUUUGGUAGAAGUAGCCGACUCGCUGAAUGACUGAAAAAUUCUUGAUUAAUAAAGAAUACCAGCAACUUAACUCAAGUGACCUGCAUUGCACCAUUUUUAUUUUUCCAUUGAGCAAUCCUAUAUAUCUGAUUGAUAACUCGCCUCCCCCUAUUCAUAGCGACAAUGUUACAAGUCAUAUCAGAUGUCUAAGGUCAAUAUCAAAUUAGAUGAGUACUAGCUGAAGUCAAUUUUAGUUCAGGCGUAUAUAACUAGGUUAUUUGGGUUUGAAAGCCUUUUCUCAAUUUUCCUGCCUUUGCUCUCCAUGAAUGUGGUGCAAGUUCAAGUUUCUCUUGGCAUCUGGUCCACAAACUGCCUCAAAAUGGGUUUUACAUAACUUUGGGUCAGAUCCAGUGUUGGGUUUUCCAAGAUACGGUUAUUAGUAUGUGCAUAAUUUUCCAACUGUAUCAUCUUGCUCAUGUUGGGUGUUGCAGGGUUCAGGUAGGACCUUUGUAUGAUCAUUGUUUAUCUUAGUUUUUGUGUUGUCAGUGAGUGUGAGGCUUGCUUGUCUGUGUUAUGCUUGCUGCUGCUUGUUCUUUGAGUUGCAGUCAAAUAGUUAAGAGGGAUUUUCUAUGUUCUUGCCUUUUGGUGCUACAGGUCCAUUUCUAUACCGCUGGUUUUCAGCUUUGGGUUGGGUGGAGCUGCUUGGUUUGUAGUUCGUGGGGAAUGGCUUAGCACUGCCGGUGGUUGGUUAUUGCACUAUUUGGGGCUGUUAUCUUUGCUGUUCUGUGCAGAUUGGUUUGACCAGUUUGGUGUAUGCUAGUCUGUUUUGUAGACUGGUAUGGUGUGUGCAGAUUGGUCAGGUGCAUGUCCCUAGGCUAAUUUGGUCAUAUAAAUUUGUAGGUUUACCUCAAGGUGUUGAUCAACAAAUAGAGGUAGAUUCUACAACAAUUUUUUUCUGAUGUUGAGUUAAUAAAUUAAUCCACUUAUAUUAGAGCCAUAUCAAGCAACGGGGUCUGAACGAGUUUAUAAUACCAUGAAAAUUGGUUCAAGUAGCCAGAGUCUAAUUCAUCAUCAGUUUGGAUCUAUAUAUUCUGGUUCAGAUAUGCUUGGGACAGUUACGUGCAUUAUAUGUUACUGUUGUAUUGUAGUUACCCAGAAGGUUGAAUAUAUGUCUAUUUUCAUUUUUCAUUUAUACUUCUGGCGCUGUUUAGACUAUGAAGCCAUGGUACAUCAUCUUGACAAAAUUUGCAUUGCAUUUAUAUGCGGGAACUUUGGUUUUGGAUUUGGGAUGAAAUUUUCGAGUAACAACCUAUAAGUCUUUGUUAGAAAAUCCUUAAAACAAAGUUGCAAGUCUACUCUUGACAUUGAAGAUAUAACACCAUACAGUAGUAUCAAAAAGUUUAUACUUGAAUACAUGCAUAUAUUUUCUUUCCUGGUGUAUGUCUGAUAAAGAUCUGCACUAUUUUGCACUCUAUUUUUAAAAAUUCUGUUAUGUUUGUUCCUUGUAUACUGAAUGUCUUAUGAUGACAUAAAAUCUAUCAUGUAUCUUUACAGGAUUUCCCAAAAUUUGUAUAGGUCGACAAGUACAACAAGCACCCCAACCUGGAACCAACCUUUCUCCAUCAGCACUACAGGAGUCAGGAUGGUAGAUAGAAGGAGAAUGGUAGAUAAAAUGAUGGCAUGAAGUAUUAGUUCUUUUUGGAGAUUCAUUAGUUUUUUUAAUUGAUGUUUUUAUAUUAUAACAAUGCAUGGUUUUUGUUAUUCGAAUGAUUGUUUUGGAUAUUUUAUUUUAAUAAUAAGUAAAACUUAAUUCGA